rnacentral:lncRNA from 1 species
GAAGAGAUUUUCUUCCCCUUUUUCUUGGAGCAUUUACCUAGAAAACUUGUAAUUGCAGUACUUUCUUGCCUCUUUGGAAUGUUUAUAAAUCCUUUUGAAGACUAAAUAGGCCUUCAGUCAGUUGGCCUUUUGUCAGCUUUAUGACCCAGGAAAGUUUUUCUCCACAACCUGCAAGCCAUCUCUUUGAAAUGCUAGCAUCCAGGGAGAAAAAGCAUUCCUAUCUCUCAGCUUCUGUGAGAGUAGGAGCCUAAAUUCUUGGUGGCCACCUUACUCCUGAGAUGCAAGCUAUCUCUUGUCAUAAAAGUGAGAAGUUAGUUAUUCUUCCAGAUAAAACUAAUAAACUAACACAGAUAGUCAAUCCAAUUAUCAGGUAAAGUUAGUAUGUGUGACUAAUUUGCAGUCAAUUCCUCUUAGUUAAGGGCUAGUUAUUGUUUAUCUUAAAAAGCUUGAUAUAAUGGGUUCUAUCUGCUUGGCUAUGUAAAACAAUGAGAUUUCUUUUUGCCUUUGCAACUUCUCAGAUGAUGAUCUGAGAUGCUCAUUACAUUCUGGUAUAAUGUUUAUUCAGUAAUAGAAGGGUUUUCCUUCUCUACAAACUUCAUGGAGAGGAUCUCUGGGUUGCAAGAUGAUUUUGUUUUUAAUUAUAUUUCCUUGACAGUAUUUAACCAGAAUUCAGAUUUGAUUUUCUUGCUUUGGAUUUUCUUCCCACUGUGUCAAUUCAAUCUUAAAUAUUGCUCUGGGCAUGAUUCAGAUUCCUGUACUAGUUACCAAUUCUUAUUGAUACAGUUGCAGUUUAUCUUCAUGAUCUUUCAUUAUUCAUUGAAGAUAAUUGUGUGCCUUAUAGCAUGCCACUUGUUUCAAAUAAAGCAAUAAAGCAAGACAUAAAGAAGAAAGCCAUCAGGGGAAUUUUAAUAUUUUUUAAAGUAAGAAAGCAAACCCUUUAGAUGUUUCCAUUUUUAAAAAAGAUCCAUGCAGUAGUGUAGGCGAUGUUUUAGGCAAUAAAAAUAGCAUUGUUUGGCAACAUUUAUUGCUAAACUAGCAUUGAAAGUAAGUGUAAAACAAAAUACUAGUUAGAAUUCUAUCAUUCCGUUUGUGUAGGAAAUAAUGUAUAUCAUUAUAAAGGGCUUAUGCAUAUUUCUAUUAAAAUAGCAUCUUCUUUUCAAGGAAAACAUGAGGAGACAGAAACUUUUGGAUUUCCGGUAGAAGUAGUCACAUUAAAAUAAUAAUUCAAAUAACCUUGGGGUUGGUCUUAAUCAAUGGUUUCAUUAGACAUUUCUCCAUCUGCUAUCAUCACAUACAUAUGUGAGUGAGAAAACCUAUUCUCUGAAGUGAUACUUUAAUAAUUAUUUUUAAAUCAAGUGCCUGGAUAGAAGGUUGUAUAUCUUCAAUUUUGCAGAUAUUUUUAAAGACCAAUUAAAAUACAAAAAUAUAUUUUCAUUCUAUAAACAGCAAUGAUUCUACCUUUCAAAAACAGAUUUUUCUUACUGUACUAAAUAGACUUAGAAUAAUAGCUAUAUAUCAUCCAUAAUGCUUUUCUAAAUUUUAUAAUUCUUGCUGUGUUUUUGUUAUAAAACUGCACAUGGAGACAUGAAAGUAAAGCCUAGAACCUUCAGUUCUUUAAUAGAGUGAAGAAAUCAAUCUUAAAGCAUAGAUUUGAUUUUCUAAGAAGUUGAAAGAAUAGCAUAUAUAAUCCAAGUAUUCUUCAUAUCUGAUCUCUAUGCUUUCCAGGCCUCUAAACGAUUAGGUGUUGAAGGUUAGAUUGGAUGUCAUUCAAAAGACAAUUUUCCUCGGACUGGCAAUAAUAUCACAGACUGGCCUAAGACCUCAAAGUCAUAAGUUAUAAUCAAUCUAUCUUCAGAAAAGAUGUCAUAUUAUAAAAAUCUCUAAGGUUAAAGGAAGAGAUCCAACUUGCAUUAAACAUAUUUUAUCUCCCUUGUUUGAGGAGAGGUAUACAGCAAAUUUUCUAUUCUUAUUUAUUCUGAAAAAUUUCAUGAUGAGUUAGUUGAUUGUGAAACAUUACUUUUAGGAGAUUCACAUAUAAACAGUGAUUUACACUAAGUAUAUUUUUACAUCCAAUCACAUUUUACUGAUGACAUCAGUGUUCUAAGUGUUGUACCAACUAUAUCUGGGCGCUAAAUCAAAGACUGUCAGGUUCUACUACUUACUCUGAUUUAUUUACUCUGAUUUACACAUCCAGAUUUUCAGAUGUGGCUUUGGUAUCAUGCUUAAGUAUAAAAACUUGGAGGCUAAAUGGAAUCACAGUCCUCUAGAAUUAGAAGGAUCCUAAGAAAUGUAGUUUGUUUCUUCUUUCAGUCAGGGCUACAUUAUCUCAGACAUGUGAGAAUAUGUCCAAUAAUAUUUUCAAGAAUAACAAUCCAUUUUAGUGUGUAGCACCCUUGAGUCUAAGGAAACCGUUCAUAUAGUCAACUCUGCUACAUAAGAAAUUGUUUUUCACUUAUUCUUUCUUACAUGGAGUGGAAUUUAUUGAAAGGUUGUUUGAUACAGUCUGGGGCAGUUAAUAAAUUAUAGCCCUCAACUUGUGACUUUCCUAUUUUAAUACGUAUAUUACCUUACCUUCUUUUAUUUUAAUCAUGGAAAUAAAUAUGCUUAAUUUAUUUUCAAGAUGUAUUUUAAUUUUAAAAUAAUAUUUGGAUUUCUAAUCAUAUUCAGGUAGGUAUACUGCAUUUCUAGAGAAGUCAUAUAAAUGUUUAAAUUUCCUUUUUCUUUUGACUUAAAGAGUUCUUUUUCUAAAAGGGAUAAACUUAAUGCUUGCCUCACUAUUUAAGUUUUUGUUUUGGUUUGGUUUUUUAAGUAAAAUUAAGUGUACUCUAGUGUUUAAUGUUUAUUUUUUAUUUCUCUAAAUUAAGACAUUUUUGGGAACAAAAUGUUUUUCAUUUAGUAACAGUCAGGUCUACAUAUUUCACAACUAAUACUUUUGAAUGUAUAAUUAUUUUAAGACUUCAGAUAUUAAAUAAUUAUUCUUACUCUGGUUCAUACCAUGACUGAUAAGAUUCUUUUUCUCUAACAUCUUCAACUAGAUUUUAUGUUCUGAUCUUAUGGAGGCUAACUUGCUUUUAUGUCAUCAACAUGCUAUAAAGAGUGAAACAUUUAUUUAUUUAGUGCUACCUAACUUACUUUCAUAGCAACCAUAACAAAAGAGAAAAGAACUUGGAUUAAUCAAACUAAAAUAUCAAUGGAAUUUUUAAUCUGCUGCGAACACCAUAGUGGGGACUACUUAGAGCCCAUAGUGUUGGCUCCUGGGCUUGUUAUAAUUCAUUCCCCAGUGCUCCACUGGGAAGGGCUUUAAGCAGUUUUUUUUUUUUUGUUUUUGUUUUUAAUUAUUUUUUUCCCGUGUGGCUCGUGGCAUAACUAUUUGGCGUUGCUUUAAGCGGUUUUUAAAAGUUGUUUUAUUUCUUUUCUAUCUAAAAUAACAGUUGCUAGUUAGUAGUAAUGGCUAGAUCCUUGUUAUGUCCAAAGUUUAAGAGUAAUUAAACAUGACUAUAUCCUUUUCCAAGCUGGACAGGAAAGGACCUCAUGUACAGGUAUUUGUCUUGGAGGAAUGUAACUGAUUAGGUAAGCACAGGGGAGUAGCAGCUGCAUGGCGAACAGGGAAGAACUAUGAGGGGACAUUUUAAAUAAGAGAGGGAAAAAAAUCAUGGUCUUGGAAACUAUUAACCAUUUUAUGUCUGAAAUGGGCAUAGAUUUUUAAAUAUAUGCAUGACUAUAAAUACCACAACAUUAUUGAUAUUCACAUCUGAAUCGGAUAUGCAUUUCACACCUAAUAUUUACAUUAUGAUUUCAUUAUUACUAUUUCAAUUUACAUUAUUCAUUUUAAAGUUCAUUUUAUAUAUAUACAUAUAGUUAGAUAUUUUUAUAGCUUCAUUCUGCUUUUGCUAAUGCACAUAUCAAUAGGCAAAGAGAAAACUAUAACAAAUUUUCACUGUAAAAUAUGGAGAAAAUUAGCUAAGAUUUUGCCCAGAAUUAAUAUCAUUAAUGACAUUGUUUUGUUAAAAGUAUCUCAAAUCUACUAUGCUACAGGUACACAAUCCCUUAUCCACAAUGCUGCAAUCCAAAAGUAUGAAAAUCAAAAAUAUUUUGAAACUAUUUUUAAAUAGCACAUUUCCCAAAUGAAUAUCACUAUUUAUUGUGUUUACCUCCUUUCAUAUUUUUCAUUGCAUAUAUAUUAAGGUUUCAUUACACUGCAGAGUGCCAACCCCUCUGUGAGAAUUAUACAAUACACAAUAUAUGCAUCAAAUUAACCUUAUAAAACUUGAUGACUUUAAAUUAUGAAGCAUAUCCAGGCCCAAAGGAUUUAAAUGAAUAACUGGAACUUGUGCUAUUUAAACCAAGGUGAGACUUUAAACCCUUCUAUUCUGAAAUUUCAUAUCUUAAUGUAUUCAUACACCAUCAACUUGUUAUUGAAGGUCAUAUAGAAAAACAAAACAAAAAAAAGCUGGAAGGUGGUUAGAAGUCAUGCAUUACAGUCAUAAGCCUUCAUUUUUAGCAAAAGAAACUGCUGGCCAAGAGAGUAAAUUAUUUUGUUUAAAAUCAUGCAGCCAGUAAAUGAAUGAUGAAAGGACUGAAUGCAACUGUCUGUUCCACUAUGACCUCCUGUAAAUUAAGAAAAAAAAAAAAAAAAGUAAAGGGUAAAAACUUGCUAUGGCAGCAGCAGAAGAAAAAUGUGGUAAGAUUCUGCAAUUCAGUUGGGGAAAUGGUGUUGGAGCAAUUGGUUAGCCAUAUGGAAAAAUAGACUUUGACCUCUACCUCACAUCAUACACAAAAAUCAAUUCAAGAUGAAUCAUGGUCCUAAGUGAAAAAAGUAAAUCAAUAACAAACUUUGAGAAGAAAACAUAGGAUAUCGUCUCUCUUACAUUACUAUAGACACAUAUUUCCUAAGUAGAAUAAAGAAAAAGCACUAACCAUAUAAGGAAGACAAAGAGUAAUUUUGACUUUAGAAAACUCACCAAAUUUCUUUUCAUAAAAUGACACUAUGGAUAGAAGAAAGACCAAAAUACACGACAUAAAAAAUGUCUACAAACGUCUGACGAAUCUAUCAGGAAUACAUAAGGAACUACUACAAAUCAAUAAGAAAGAUAAAUCAUCAUAUUAAAAACACACACACACAGCUGAAUUCACUUCACGAGAAAGGGUAUUUGAGAAAAUAAGAAAAUGAAAAAGGGCCCUGAAUAUUAAUCAUCAGACAUGUCCAAAUUAAGCCACAAUAAUACAGCAUAUACCCACCCAAAUUGUGAAAAUUAAAAAGACAAAUAAUACCAAGUGCUGCCAAGCUUUUGGAGAAACUGGAACAUUCCCUCUUUCUGGAAGGAGUGUAAAUAGGUACAGUCACUUUGGAACAUGGUAAUAUUUGCUACCUUAGAUAUACAUGGAUAAAUCUCACAGAUGUCAUAGUAGG